GUAUAUAUAGCUCAAGUGGUAGAGUGCAUGUUUGGCAUGCAUGAGGUCCCAGGUUCAAUCCCCAGUACCUCCA
rnacentral:tRNA from 1 species